GACGAACGCUGGCGGCGUGCUUAACACAUGCAAGUCGAACGGAAAGGCCCUGCUUUUGUGGGGUGCUCGAGUGGCGAACGGGUGAGUAACACGUGAGUAACCUGCCCUUGACUUUGGGAUAACUUCAGGAAACUGGGGCUAAUACCGGAUAGGAGCUCCUGCUGCAUAGUGGGGGUUGGAAAGUUUCGGCGGUUGGGGAUGGACUCGCGGCUUAUCAGCUUGUUGGUGGGGCAGUGGCUUACCAAGGCUUUGACGGGUAGCCGGCCUGAGAGGGUGACCGGCCACAUUGGGACUGAGAUACGGCCCAGACUCCUACGGGAGGCAGCAGUGGGGAAUAUUGCACAAUGGGCGGAAGCCUGAUGCAGCAACGCCGCGUGCGGGAUGACGGCCUUCGGGUUGUAAACCGCUUUCGCCUGUGACGAAGCGUGAGUGACGGUAAUGGGUAAAGAAGCACCGGCUAACUACGUG
rnacentral:rRNA from 1 species